UACGUAGGGGGCAAGCGUUGUCCGGAAUCAUUGGGCGUAAAGCGCGUGUAGGCGGCUAGGUAAGUCUGCUCUGAAAGCCCGGGGCUCAACCCCGGGAGGCGGGUGGAUACUGUCUAGCUCGAGUCCGGAAGAGGAGUGUGGAAUUCCUGGUGUAGCGGUGAAAUGCGCAGAUAUCAGGAGGAACACCGAUGGCGAAGGCAGGUCUCUGGGCCAUAACUGACGCUGAGAAGCGAAAGCAUGGGGAGCGAACAAG
rnacentral:rRNA from 1 species